UAGCAAUUCAUCAUCAUCAAUAAAUGUAGGAAAAUCCUCUGGCCAAGGUUUCAACAUCCCAACAUGGCUACAAAACCCAUCCAAAUUUUGCAGGCAAAGCGGCAACAACGCACACCAACCUGGCACAAGCAGUAGUAGCAGCACACACGCACCCUCUCCCAGCAAAGCAAACGAUGGCGGCGAGGCUCGUCUCCGUUGCCCACCUCCUCCUGCUCCUCGUUGUCCUGGCCGGCUCCCGCCGCGUGGCGCUGGCCUCGGAGACCGUGGAGCAGACCUGCGCCAAGGCCACGUCGGGCGCGGGCCGCGAGGAGCUGGCGCCCUUCUGCGUGUCGUCGCUGCAGGCGGCGCCCGGCAGCGACGGCGCCGACGCGCGCGGCCUGGCCGCCAUCGCCACCAACCUGACGCUGGCCAACUACACGGCCGCCGUGGCCACCAUCAAGGCGCUGGAGCGGCGCGGGGGCUGGUCCGAGCAGUCGCGUGCCGCGCUGGCCACGUGCCGCCAGCGGUACAUCGAGGCGCUCAACGUCGUGCACAGCGCCGUCCACGCGCUGGCCACGGGGAACCUCCGGGGCUACGUGUCCGACAUGGAGGUCGUCGGGAAGGCGGCGACCGACUGCGAGCACGCGUUCGGCGGCGCCGGGAGCGGGCCGCUGCGGAAGGUGGACGAGGACGCCGGCAACCUCGUCGUGGUGGCGACGCUCAUCGUCAGAUCCCUCCAGUGAUUAAGGCCGGAGGCGCAGUUUGGUGUCGCAUUAAUUACCUCGCGGCCGUAGGCAAAUCUCUACUACCUAUUAAGACGGUAAGGGGUAGGCUGCCCCAUUCCGUGUUCUGCCAUUCCCAUUCCGUCCUCACUGCAAAGCCCAUUCCCAUUCCCAGCUGUAUGUCUUUCUCAUUCCCCCUCCCUGCAAAGCCCAUUCACAUUUCCAUUCCCGGCUAUCACGUGUCUUUCUCAUUCCCCCUCCCACAAAGCCUAUUCUCAUUCCCACGUGCAUCCCACGCCUAGCUAAAAUUAAAUUAAAAAAACAGGCUCCAAGGGGAUUCAAACCCGCGACCUCUCAAAUAAAUGUGUUUGUAGCUACCACUACACCACAUGUGUGUUUAUGUCUACAUCUAUUAUAGUAAAAACAUAUAAUACAUCUCUCCCGAAGCCCACCUGCUACCCUUGCACAAUGUGUAGUAGUAGAUAAGUAUCACUGAGAUUAUUAAAUUAUAUUUUUGGAUUGAGGGAGUAGUAUUUAAAGAAGAGCCUUGC
rnacentral:misc_RNA from 1 species